rnacentral:rRNA from 1 species
ACCUCGGAUCAGGUAGGAAUACCCGCUGAACUUAAGCAUAUCAAAAGGCGGAGGAA